GUUCCCGUAGCUCAGUAGGAUAGAGCGACCGCCUCCUAAGUGGUAGGCCGGAGGUUCGACUCCUCUCGGGAACGCCA
rnacentral:tRNA from 1 species